GGAUCUUUCCUAAAUUGCCUUCCUUGUUAUUUUGAAUUUUCUCCCUGACCUUCCUCCAGUUCCCUGAAAUGGCUUCACCUCUGUCAGCUUCUCCCUCACUCUGUGGCUUCAGUAUCAACCAUCAAGUCCUGGAGAGGACUGGCUUCCUGUUCCACCAAUAAAUCCCUGUCAGCUGAGGCGGGUGCAUAGCGAGAACUCUCCUUGCUGCCUUUUUUCCCAGCCCAAUUCUUCCUGCUCAUCCCUACCAAAUUCUUUUUCUCCCAGAGAGGUUUUUAUGACAUCCUUGCUCCAAAUCCAUUUACAAGAUUCAGUCCAAAAUCAUCAGCUGGAUAUAAUGGACCCCCCACAAUCUGGCAUCUUAAACCUUAUCUACUGCAAUUGCUCUUGCACCUUGAUUCCAGUUAGCAAUGCCUGUUCUCUAUUUUAAACAAUGACUAAUUUAUCCAACUCUAUUCAUUUGCUCAAACUAUUUUCUUGCCUACAAUAGCCUCCCAACAUUUUUCCACUCAAUCUGAGAACUCCCAAGAUUCCUUCAGCUGUUUCUACUACCUUUGGACAUGGAAUUUCAACAUAAAAAAGCAUUUUUCAGAGUUUCACUCUUGUCGCCCAGGCUGGAGUGCAAUGGUGCGAUCUUGGCUCACUGCAACCUCCGCCUCCCAGGUUCAAGCAACUCUCCUGCCUCAGUCUCCCGAGUAGCUGGGAUUACAGGUUAUCAUGAGAGUGAGCCAAGGAGGAACAACUAGAGGAUGGAGUGGAGGAUCAGACAAAGCUUACCCAAGAAGUAAGAUAAAGGCUGAGAAGCUGAGGCUUGAGAAGACUUUAGGCAGGGUAAUAGUAAAAGAAGGAUCAUUCCUGGGACAAAGAACAUAAUGGUGCAAAGGUCUUUACCUAAGAAGCAUCAGUACAAGUACUAGGGACAGAGGGGGUAGAAGUGAGACAGAGAGUGGCUGGACAAAACAGGGUUCCAUCAAGCCAGGCCUCACUGGGCCAUCUUAACCUAAAAAUGCAGCUGAGGCCUGGAAGAGCCAUGUAAGCUGGAACAUCUAAAAAAGCUUUUUCCCUCCAUUCAUUUAAGAGGCUUAAGUCAUUUGGAAAAAACAUGUAUCCUAAAAUAUCAAUAAAUUAUAUGCAACUUC